UCUUUGGUUAUCUAGCUGUAUGAGUUUUAAUUUCAUAAAGCUAGAGAACCGAAAGUA
ensembl:miRNA